GAAAGCUUGAUGGAGCAAUGCCGCGUGCAGGAUGAAGGCCCUCGGUUGUAAACUGCUUUUAUAAGAGAAGAUUAUGACGGUAACUUAUGAAUAAGGGACGGCUAACUACGUGCCAGCAGCCGCGGUCAUACGUAGGUCCCGAGCGUUAUCCGGAGUGACUGGGCGUAAAGAGUUGCGUAGGCGGUCAAGUUAGCGAGCGAUGAAAACUAUCGGCUCAACCGAUAGCUUGUUGUUCGAACUGCUAGACUCGAGAGUAUCAUAGGUCGCUGGAAUUCCUUGUGUAGCAGUGAAAUGCGUCCAUAUUAGGACGAACACCGAUGGCGUCGGCAGGCGACUGGGAUAUUCUGACGCUAACGCACGACAGCGUGGGUAGCGAGCGGAUCAGAUACCCGGGUAGUCCACGCCCGUAAGCGAUGGGAUGCUAGUGUACGAGGUAUCGACCCCUACAGUACUAGCGCUACGCGUUAUGCAUGCGCCUGUGAGUACGGCG
rnacentral:rRNA from 1 species